UGUCAUGCAUCUGGUGUCAUUCUGUAAAUUUACUCGUUGAUUAACUAGGUGAAUAAAUUAUACAUUUCUCUUAACUUCCUAAUUUCCACAAUCCUUUCCUGUCUGUUCCAGUUAGAAGAUGACGUGACAGGCUAUCACAGCUUCUUCACUGCUCUAAGAUUGGGCUGUCCACCUCCAUGCAAACUUAAACUUAAGAAAGGCAUUCUCCCAACCAAAUUCGGUCAAGAUGAGGCGAAUUUGUCAUCAAGCACUAUUUCACUAACAGCCUCAAGUAGCAAAAUUGCAACGUCUCCGUCGAAUUUUCAGGAACCUUCUCCCUACAACGAUGCAUGUCCCUCACCCCUGGCUAACGCAUUAAAUCAUCGCUUAAAUCCGGAGAUUGAGUCACCCUCUUCACUAAUGAACAUUUCGCCUAUUCAACCUACAUCCAGCAACAAUGUAAUGAGUGGGUUAUCUUUUGAAUCCUGCAACGAGAUUUAUCCUAUAAAUGAGGCGACUCCUUCAAGCCAUACAUCCACGGAAACUCACUACUUUACACCUUCAAGCACAACUGGGCAUCAUUCAGAGAAACGAAACACUCCUGUUGAGAGAGAUGAACCACUACAGAACGGAGAAGUCCUGAAAAUUAAGGUGGAACCGGACCUGACUUAUUUAGAGAGAGAUGAACCCCUACAGAACGGAGAAGUCCUGAAAAUUAAGGUGGAACCGGACCUGACUUAUUUAGAGAGAGAUGAACCCCUACAGAACGGAGAAGUCCUGAAAAUUAAGGUGGAACCGGACCUGACUUAUUUAGCAGAUCUAGAGAAUGUCAGUGAUCCUGCAGGAGAAGAAAAACCUUCUAGGGUGACGACACUCUCACAGGUUCCUCCUGGGAAUGGCUGCGCAUAUUGUGGCUGCUGCUGCCGAACGAAACCAAGGGGAAUCGACGUUGGGGUGCAAGUUUCACAGCAAGCCGGUAGUUCUUCCCCCUUUGAUAACGCUUGAUAGAGGAAUGCUGGCUCUUAGUCUCUUAUUGAAGGAUGAACAAACCUCAUCAGGAAGAACUAAGUACUAAGAGGCCCUCAUUAAUGGAUGACUUUAUCAAUGAUAAAGUUGCUAAAGAGUUUAACAACCUGAACUGGUCUGCCCUUGCAUUUUACCACUGAAGCAUUGAUGAAAAUGCCGUGUAUCUCUGAUGGUGUGUGAAAACUUUAGUUUUUAUUUUAGAUUAUUUAGUUAUCUUGAAAAUGCAGGCAUAGUUUGAGUUUUGCAGAAACUUGGGUACAUUUCAUGUUCUAACAGAGCUUGUGAAUACCUAAUUACUUAAAUCAGAGUGUGCACAUAAAGUGAGUUGA
rnacentral:lncRNA from 1 species